AGGCUGGUAACUUAUAGGCAAAGUGUGUUGCUCAUAACAACAGAGAAGUUGGUUCGAUUCCAAUCCAGCCUA
rnacentral:tRNA from 1 species